rnacentral:sRNA from 1 species
AAGCGGGAGGAAGGUGAAACUGCGGAGGAUCAUUAUCAUUAUAACAAGACGCAUUAGGGGCUGUCGCUGACCCUUUUUNAAAGGUCGUGCACGCCUUUAGUGUUCUCAAACNAUCCCAUCUCUCUCUCACCCUUGUGCAUCACCGCGUGGGCUUCGUUAAACGGGCUUGCGUUUUUCACACAGACCACCCGUAGUCUUAGAAUGGUCUCCUUUAUGCGAUUACUACGCAACCUAAUAUAACUUUCAACAACGGAUCUCUUGGCUCUCGCAUCGAUGAAGAACGCAGCGAAACGCGAUAUGUAAUGUGAAUUGCAGAAUUCAGUGAAUCAUCGAAUCUUUGAACGCAUCUUGCGCCCCUUGGCAUUCCGAGGGGCACACCCGUUUGAGUGUCGUGAAAUCCUCAACCUUCACUGUUUCUUUCAUCAGUGAAGGCUUGGACUUUUGGAGGUUAUUGCUGGCCUCUCUAUCUGAAGUCAGCUCCUCUUAAACCGAUUAGUAGGGUUCCUUAUGCCCAUCCUUGGACCGUGAUAACUCGCUUCUACGUCCUUGGGUACUUGGCCUUGCUUCAUACUAGUGAUAAUGACCUCGAGGGCUUUUGAACUCGUGCGUUAUUAUUAAACCCCCCCUUUCUUUUUGACCUCAAAUCGGGUGAGACUACCCGCUGAACUUAAGCAUAUCAAUAAGCCGAAGGA